ACAGUGUCAUCUGAUCGUA
rnacentral:snRNA from 1 species